GAGAGAAGCUUGCUUCUCUUGAGAGCGGCGGACGGGUGAGUAAUGCCUAGGAAUCUGCCUGGUAGUGGGGGAUAACGUUCGGAAACGAACGCUAAUACCGCAUACGUCCUACGGGAGAAAGCAGGGGACCUUCGGGCCUUGCGCUAUCAGAUGAGCCUAGGUCGGAUUAGCUAGUUGGUGAGGUAAUGGCUCACCAAGGCGACGAUCCGUAACUGGUCUGAGAGGAUGAUCAGUCACACUGGAACUGAGACACGGUCCAGACUCCUACGGGAGGCAGCAGUGGGGAAUAUUGGACAAUGGGCGAAAGCCUGAUCCAGCCAUGCCGCGUGUGUGAAGAAGGUCUUCGGAUUGUAAAGCACUUUAAGUUGGGAGGAAGGGCAGUUACCUAAUACGUGAUUGUUUUGACGUUACCGACCGAAUAAGCACCGGCUAACUCUGUGCCACCAGCCGCGGUAAUACAGAGGGUGCCAGCGUUAAUCGGAAUUACUGGGCGU
rnacentral:rRNA from 1 species